CCAUAGAGAUAUGCGGUUAUUCUCCUAACCAUCCACAUUCUUUGUUCAUUCCACCAUCCCUUUAAUGUGUCUCCACAUGAUAAUGCCUCAUAUAGGCUGUACAUGUUCUUCACACAGAAGACAUACAUGAAGGGCGUGAUCCAUGGACUCGUAAUCUGAAUGACACAGGAUCAUCAUGUUAGCUUUAAUACAAAGCAUAUUAAACUAAAAUGAGGCUUUUCUUACUAGUAUGAAUCAUUUUACCUCUGGGAACAAGGAGGUGCCUUUGAGGAGAGCUAGUGAAGGGAUGAUAACAUAAUAUAGUGUAGGGAGCGAAUUGGGUGCCCAUAAUCCAUAGAUUGAGUAGCCCAUUUGAUGUAGUAACUUGAUUUUUCCAUGCCCAAACAAGAAGGGGCAGUAAUUUGAAAGAAAAAUCGAGAAAGCACCAUCACUCCAUCGUUUGUGUUGUAGUAGAGUUUGAGCAAGUGUUGUUGGAGCUACACCCAGAAAUGCUGGCCUUGGAGGAUUGUUAUGGACUGACAUCCAUCCUCUGCAAUGUAUUGCCAAUCCGGUGAUUAUAUCCUCUGCUGGGUAACCAUAUUUUAACCCAAUCUCAUCUCCCCACAGCGUUCCAUGUUCAUACAUGCAGGCUGCUAAAGACUUCGCUUUCUCUUCAAUCUCAUCUAUGCUCUCUUGUGUUUUGUCCAUUAUUCCUCUCUUCCAGUCUUCUUGGUAGUCUUCGGUGAACCUCCUUCCACAAAGGAUCUCCCUUCUGUGGAAACAUCCAGUGCCAACAUACAUAGGGCCACCCACACUAUCCAUACCACCCAUCAACACCUUAAGAUUGAGUAGUUAUGUUAGUGUCAGAACAUGCACAAUGAACAAGCUGGAUAAUGGUUACUUAUAUCAUGGAGAACAGAACUGGAGCUACAAUUUAAUACCACUGACCUGAUUGGUGACUUGGUGGGAAUUCCCGUAUAUGUUAUUCUUGGUCAAAUUGUUAUAGUUCUGAGGGUAUUGCACAAAUCCAACCUUGUGACCCAUUUCUUCGUCAAGGAAGAAGCACAGUGCAUCUCUGAUCGUAUUGCAAUUGUUGGAAUACAUAUCACAGUCCACAUUCAUGAUGAUAGGGCUGUUGCUUAUCAUCGAUGAUACUCUUAUCUGCAUUUCAAUAAUUUUUUUGUACACAUUUUAGAAAUAUUCAUUGAAGAUUUUUAAUUUAACCUUUCAUGGAAGAUUUUUAAUUUAACUGGUGUGAUGUUGAUAAUGUUAGGAGUACCAUAAAGACAGACGUGGUAGUUGGUACUAGACUACUAGUGUCUAGCUGUGGUGAAUAAAUAUUUAUAUGCAAAACCAACAUUUUUAAGCGUACAUUCAUUGCAUCUGUUCACAACAUGCUGGAGAAGGGGGAUUUUGUAUUUCCUCUACUCUGUUAACUGAUAAUCCAAUGACAUGAAAUGAAUUAUAAGGGAGUCAACUCUAUGCUACGAUUUUCUCAAAGGACAAGAAAGCACAUUACAUCAUUUGUGUAGUUUGGUAACUCUUGUCUAACAUAGCUCUUUACUAGAAAUAAAUGAUGACUUCGAAUAUGGUGCAACCAGUACAUUGCUAAGAAUCAGUAUAAGAAAAUAGGCAUUUACUAAUCAAAACUACGAGGUUAACAGUAAAUUGUAUACUUAGUAUGAAGGGGCAAGGUUAGUGAGUGCACCAAAGCAUUCAUUGCCCCAGCUUUGAAGUUAUGGGGGUACUGAGGUCGCUUCUCGCGGGACAUGUACACAAGUGUUGGUAGCACAUUUCCUUCACUAUCAACUGCAUCUCCGUUUUUUCCAUCUAUCAGAAGCUAGCAAAAGAAAGAAGUUUAGAACUUAAAACUCCCAAACAGCAUCUAAGUUAUUUACUCCAGAAUCAUGAAACCUUUACUCAGAUUUAGAGGGCAGGAAAGGUACCUGAACAAUUGGCUGGUGAUUUUUGGAGAAUGGUAGCCAAUGCUUUGCAAACAAGGAUGCCUCCCAGAGGGCAUAGAAAGUGAGAACUGAACCUCCGUCGUCAGAAAGAUACACACUUAUUUUCUCGGCUGGGUAAUUAUAUGCCAUGACCGAUAGGAUGGUGGAGAUGACAAGACUCGGUGGCUCUGAUUCUGGGUCUGCGGUGCAUACAAAGAUAUCCACACAAGAAUCAUGCAAACCUUUACUCCAAUUUAGAGGACAAGAAAGAUACCUGAACAAUUGGCUGGUGAUUUCUGGAGGUAAUUUCUGGAUUCCAUUCACAAAAUCCUUUAUGAUUUGCUUUGAUUUCCUCAGGAAUUUUGUCUGACAUGACAGCUGUAUCGAUUCGCUCAGUCAUUUCAUCAUACAUGUCCUGCCCAAAAGAUGGAACACCAUUU